AGACAUUUCCGAAUUAUUACGAUCCCUUUCAGACAGCUUUGCUAGUCCAAAAUCCGAAAUCUUGGGUUCAAAUUCACCAUCCAAGAGUAUGUUUUCAGGUUUCACGUCACAAUGAAUAACCCAUUCUAAGCACUCAUGGUGAAGGUAGGCCAAACCUUUAGCUGUCCCUAAGGCAACUUUAAACCUCUCAUUCCAUCCAAGAACGUUACCCGAAAAGAGAUGUUUGUCCAAAGACCGAUUUUCUACGUACUCAUAGACCAAAAGUCUAUGUUUGGGUUCUAAACAAAAUCCCCACAUUCUCACAAGGUUCAUGUGGUUGAUCUCUCCAAUUAUGCUCACUUCUGCCCAGAAAACUUCCUCAGUUAGAUGAGCAUCUCCCAAUUUCUUGACCGCCACCACCCUUUCAUCCGCCAACACACCCUUAAAUACAACCCCGGAAGCUCCUCUUCCCUGCUCUUCUUCGAAGUUCUUAGUUGCCUUCUUGAGCUCCAUAUAGCUGAACUUCCUGAAAUGAUUAGAUAAUACACGAUAUCCUUCUUCCACCAUAGCUGGAAUGCCACUUUUUCUAAAAAGAAACCACCAACCUGAUACGAAGAAAAGCAUUUGAAUUGCACCAAUAACAGAGGCAAAUGAGUUAGAUAAACCCAUGUCACCCUUCUUGCUUUGGUUUCUAACGUAGAAGAAGAGCCUAAGCCUAUCGUUACUGUGGUUUCACCUAACUUGCAUGUAUGAUUAGUGCCAUUGAGAACGAUGACUUCUGAUGUUUCUAUACUCAAAGGGUGCUUUAAAUACAAGGCACCUGGGAAAUUUGGAGAGUCGUAGCCAUUGAAAAGUUCAACUUUAGUGAAACAAUUUCCGUCCCCUGUUAGCCUGUAGCUAAAUGCAUUACACUGGCAAUCUUCCAAUCAUUUCAUCUUGCAAGAUUCUAAUGUUAUGCCUGGACUGUAAGAGGAAUCGAAUCCAUCAAAGUCCACAUAUCGCAUCUUCACGAAUUUCACCUGCUGAGGGGACUUUGAAGAACAGAUUCGACUGAACCUAGGCUUGCAACCUUUGUUCCUAUUACUUGGAUCGGCCAUCUCAUAUCCAGGAGGGCAUGAACAUUUAGGUUCUGGUGUGUAAACACAGAUCCCAUUCCUCCCACAAAGUCCAUGCACCGAACAAAGUUGCCUAACUGCUUCCCAUCUGAUGGUCCAUAAUCCUGACACGAUAUUCAAGCUAUAAAGCCUGAGGUUACCAUCGUAAUCCAUGGUCAGCCUCCUUCUGAUCCCAAAACCCAAGUCAGAACCAUUGAAAUUCAACCAAUCACUUGAUAAAAACCAUCCCAUGUCAUCUAACAAGCAAUCCUAGUACUGUUAAAGUUGGUGAUACGCCCCAGCCUCGUUGAUGAAUCCGAGUCGUUGAUGUGCCCGAUCGUGAAUUGGAGUAAUAUUAAGGUUUGUCGAAAAUAGGUUAAGAAAGAAGAGAUAAAGGCUCAAAUUGGUUCAAAGAGGUUAUGGAAUGAAUGGAGAUUGUUAGGUGAACGUAAACCAAGUAUUCAAGUUGAUCUAACACAAUAUAAGUGUGUUAUCCCGAAACUUAUACGAAUGCUUAGGUUGAGAUGGUAACGGUUAGGAAGGUAGGUAAUAGAAACGCAACCUCGACCCACUAUCAAUAUUGAUAGGAACCUCGGUAUAACUUGAACGCCACACUUUGGGUGCAAAGUGAUAAGUUCGAAAUACAAAAACGGGUUGACGCCACAAGGGUUACUUGAUAAGUCUAACCAGUCCUUGGAGAACAAUGAGAGUUGAAAACAAACUCACAAAGUAAACAAAUUUCAUAUAAAGUUUUAAAAAUAUAUUGUCUAACCCGAAAAUGAUUACAAAGCAACUAUUUAUAGCUAAUAUUGAAUGUCAAACCGAAUGGUCACAAAAGGUAGAUAAAUGGACAGUUUUAAUUCAGCUUAAUUAAGUUGAAAUUGCUUGGAAGCUUCCUUAAUCGUCCCUUGUAGUUUCCUAGGUCACUUGGCUUAGAAAUCUGAAAAGAAAUAACUUCUAGAAUGAGAGGAUUCGACUGGACAUUGAUGGAGAACUUUAUGGACUAGUCCCGAUUCGGCCUUGAUACUUUAAAAUGGCUUUAAAAGCUUCUUUGGGUAGUGUAAAGUUCGGCCUUGAAGAGAGGAAACGCCAAGCAUGAUGUUGGUCGAAUGGCUACUUGGAAAAACCAACCAACAGCCCUUUGUUGUUCACGAAAAUAGCACCUGCUUCAGCAGCUCAUUAAUGGACGUCCCUUGCAUGCUGGACAGCACCAUUAAUACAUGUUUUUGCUUCAAAAUACAUGCAUGGCUGGACGCAUGUUUCCUUAAUGUCAUGCAACAUAUUCAAUUCGGCAGCAGCCUCUUUAAUGCAUUCCAGCAUGCUUUCAUUAAUGUCGUCCAAGGGAGUGUACAAAGCCACUAGUGGCGUCUUCCAAGGAGCUUUGAAGAGUGAAACGGUAGCCCCUUUGAGGUUCACGAAAAAAACAUAUGGGGAAAAGAAAUCAACAGCUUAUGCUCAUUAAAUGGUCGAAUCUUGCAUGCCCAACAGCACCUUAAAUGCAUGUCUAUGCUUUACAUUAAAUUCGGCCAACACCUCCUUUAUUGCUGCUCAUUUAAUUCAUGUCUUUGCUUCCCUUUAAAUGUCGUUCCUUGCAUGUAGAACAGCAACUUAAAUGCAUGUCUCCUUUGCCAUUAAGUAGUUGUUUCCAGCUGAAUUAAUUACCUGCAGACACAAAAUAAAUUCAGUCAAGACAUAAAUUAAACCUCAUUAAAUUCGGCUGAAACUAAUAAAAAACAUUAAUAAAUUCAGCAUAUUAAAUAGAUGUAAUAAAUAAAACACAAUCAAUUAAACUCAAAAAUUAUUAAAGAUGUUCAGAUUUAAACAUAUUAAUUUACUAACACUUAUUUGAGCUGAAUUAAAUAAAUAAACUAACUUAUUCAAUUUAUUUCAGCAAAUGAAAUUAUAAGAAUUAAAAUAAACUCAAAUUGAGCAAAACGAUCCCAUUAAGCUGGAAACGAGCUAAACAAAGCUCAGUGAGAUGCAAUUGAGCAAAUUUAGCUCGCAUGGGUGUGCAAGAAAUGUUUAUGGAGCUGAUCGAAAAAUGUGCCCGGGCCAUGGUCGUAUCAGUUGGUUCUCCCAUUUCCAAACGCAUCAAAAUCAACAUUAGGCCAAUACACGCUUGAUAUAUCAGGCCCAUCAUAUACCAAUCUCAAGACAUUAUCAGUAUCAAAAAAAAAGUUGAAAUAUCCAGUGCCAUAAUUUCCUCUCCCCAGUAUGGAAAUCAACUUCUUACUUUUGGUAAAGCGUUGGUGAGGAAGAAGCGUAUCUGUGGGGAAAUCAAAGCUUUGCCAAACAACUUUACCAGAUGAAUUCUUAAGAACGAGAUUCCCAUUAUCCAAAAGCUCUGCCCUUUCAACGUAUGUGGUUCUGGUGUUGGCCUCCCACAUAAUGGAGCCAUCCACAUCAGUGAGUACGAAGGCACCAUCUCGAUGAAGAGGAAGUUUAGAACCCUUUCCAUUGACGGGUUUGUAUCGGUUAGCCAUCCAAGCAAUCGUUUUGUCCUUUGAGCUGGUGAACCAGAUUGAGAAGUAGUAAGCAUUUUCACUGACACCAUAAAAGCCACAGGUGAAGGUGUUGUCUGAAGAUGUUAACAUGUCCGUGUCAUCUUCCACUGACAGAGAAGACCCUGUCUGCAGAAAAUUCUUGGGAUUUCCUGAACUUGAGGGACAGAAGCAUAAAUAGAUGACAAAAACAAGAAAAAUGGUUGAACUCGAGGAUGUUAAGGUUUGGGAUCUCAUGGCUCUCGGAUUUUAGUUUCCCAACUUCUGAGGUUGCUGCGUUAAGAUUCCUAUGAAGCAUGGAUUUUAUAGUGUGACCGCCACAUUGCAUUAAAUGCAAGGAAAGAAUUAUUAAUAUUACAUUGCCUGAAACGAAAUGGAAAAUUCUGCCCUUGGUCCCUACUUCUGCGAGAAUGAAGGUUGAAUUGCACUCUUUAGUCUCGGUGUGGAAAAUCUUGGUCUCUGCCGUAUCAUGACCACCAUUCACCAACCAGUGCUGAACCUUGCGAGAUUGAAGGUUCACUUGUUCACACGGCACUUCUGUAAUAAUCAACUUAAUGGUAAUAUAUGUAUUUCCCGUUCAGAUAUUAGAAAUGAAUCUUCAAAACUUCGUGACCAAAAGAAAAUCAAUCUGAACCCAGAACUUAAACCAAAUAGUUCAUAUCGUCUACGCUCAUCGCUUAUCAUCCCUCGCGUCCCAAACUACAAAUGAAUUAUAUACUUCAAAUAAAAAGUCGCAGUUCAAUCAAUUGAACUCGAAUGAUAUGUACAUUUUCCGUUGUGGAUGCAAAAAGUCAAGGUUGUAAAAAAAAAAAAAAACAUUAGCAUGUAGUUCCUGCAUUUGUCCAUAAGAAUUUAGUUGAUAUUUAAUUCUUUUUUACUUACUUGGUUAACUUAUAUUCUAUCUAAUGGCGGAGUCAAAAACAAAUUUUUGACAAAAUUAAAUUAUAUAUUUUUACAAUAGUAAAAAUAAAAUUUCAUCUAUCUUUAUCAUUUUUAAAAUAUUAAAUCAAUUUUUUAUUAUUUUUGGGGGGCUAAAGUGUAAUUUUACCAUUACUAAUUUAAAAUUUUAUAAAUUAUAAAGAGCCUAAAUAGAAAUUUUCUAUUUUAGGGGAGUCGGGGGCCUUGCCAACCCCCCUUGGCUCCGCCACUAAUUCUAUCACUUAGGUUGGUAUCUCUGCACCGAUUAUGUUGGUGUGGCACUGAUAGCCAAUAUGAUGACACAUGACAAUUUCACAAUAUGCAACAUGAUAAAUACAAAUUUAAAAAUAAAAAAAUCUUAAAAAUAUAUAAAUUAAUAAAUAAAAGUAUAAUUUUUCACAUUAAGAACAAAUCUGGAUAAACAAUUGUCCAAAUACAUUUAAAUCUAGAAACCCAUUUGUCUAAAUUCAUUCCAGAUGUAUGUUAUUAACUUUUUUAUAAAAAAUCAGGUUAUUAUUAUUAUUUUGAAAUUAAAAAAUAUAUAAUUUAAAAAAAAUUAAAUAUAUAAAUAAUAAUUUAUAUUAAGAAUGAACCUAGACAAGUUGUUGUCUAUAUUCAAAUGUAUCGUGACAAUUAUUUAUCUAGAUUCAUUGUAGAUGCAAUUUUUAGUUUUUUUUUUAUAUAUUUAUAUAAUAUAUAUUUUAUAAUUUUUUAUUCUUUCAUACAUAUUUAUAAAAAUUUAAUUUUUAUUAAUUUAUAUAUUAUAAAUUUAUAUAUAUUUCAAAAUAUUAUAAUCUUUUUGUAUAUUUUAAUUAUAUAUGACUUUAAAUUUUAUAAAUUUAUAUUUUAUAUAUUUUAAAAAAUAAUAAUAGCCUAAAAACUUAUAUUUUAUAAAAGAAAUGUAAAUAUAUAUACUUACUAAAAAUACAUCUAGAAUCUUGAAACCCAUCAUUUGUCUAGAUUCAUUCUAGAUGUGAAAAAAUUAUAUUUUAUUUAUUAAUUUAUAUAUUUUAAAAUAUUUUAAAAUUUUUGAAGUUUAUUUUUGUCACGUUGCAUAUUAAGAGGAUGUCACAUGUCUUUACUGGUUUAGUUUUUAGUGUCACAUCGACAUAAAAUAACAAUGUUAGUGUGAAGGUAACAACUUGGGUGGCAGAAUAGAAGUUCACGUACCAAUUAGGUCCAAAAAAAAGUAUAGGUGAUAGAAAGGAAAAAUGUAUAGUUCCGAGUUCAAUUUAAUUUUUUAGGUGGAUGUUAGUGGUGCUUAUGGGUUGUGUAGGGCUAGGAUCGGGCUAGGUUUAAGUAUGAUAUUAAUACACUUUAUAUUUAUCCAAGCCCAACUCGACCCGAAAUGUGGGUCUAAAUUUUUUUCCAAAUCCGUACAUAUUUGUAAAUGGUCAACCCAAGCUUAUUUUAAGUCCAUCCAUAUUAUUUUUUGAUUUUUUUUUAAAAAAAAUAUGUAUAUUGUUUUAUUUAAUAAUUAAUAAUUUUGUACAUCUUUCAUUUAUUGUAAUUUUAUAAUGGACAUAUUAAUAUUUUUUAAUAUUUAUAGUAUAGUAUUAAAUAUUACUAUAGAGUUAAUUUUGUGUGUUAUAAAUUAUAUAAUAUAUAAAAAUAGCAUAAUAUAAUAUAUUUUAAACAUUGAAAAUGGGCCUAGUCGGGUUCUAGUCUUGAAUGUUAAAGCUCGAGCCCUAACCAUAUUUUAAACAAGCCUUUUUUUUUUUGUCCAAUCACUUUCACAUUUCGAGAUCUUAGGCGGGUAGCUCGGCCAUGAAUAAAACUAAUGAAUGCUUAUAGUAUUUACCAUGUUAGUGCUGGGUUGUUAAUUUAGUUGUAUGUUAAGUUCCAAUUAACUGGAAAAAAAUAAAAGAGUCAACAACUAAAAGAAAAAAGAAAAACUAAUUGGUUAUGCACUUCAAAAUUACUUAUAUUUAUGGAGUCCUGCUAAGAGAUUAAUCCAUUAUAGUUCAACAACACGAGAGAUGAAUUAAACUAAACUCACUGAACUCGUUAUAGACUCGACCUUAUACAUUUCUCUUAUGAAUGCUUAAACCAAACUAGUGAAACAGUUUGUUUAAAAAAAAGAACUUAUAAAUGUUGCUCACAAUGAAUAGAAUUGAGCUCUUUGUUCACACACUAAAAACAAGAGUCAAGCCUUUUAAGACUUUUGAACUGACCUAGUAUGAUUGCCCUAAACUGUUGAAGUUACGUCCCAAUUAAACUCGUAGUUAUAGUAUGAAAUAAAAGAAGUUUUCUUCACUUUUAACUUCUCCAUUUCUAAAAAGUGAAUCAUACUUGGAACUCUUCAAAUUAUCCUUGCUUGACUAAAUAUUUUCACCCAUUUUGAUCUUGAAAACUGCCGCUCAAUAUCCCUGCACAAAAUUAACCAUUUUAAUCUUAGGCAAAAUAUGCCAAGGCAUUGCAAUUGACAAUACUAACAUUCUCUCUCUUUUUCACUAAAAAAACUUUACAACAUUUUUUCCAAGUAAUCAAGCUUGAUAUCAAGACAACAAUGUAAGAAAUUCAAAUAUUUCUUAUAGAAUUCAUGUUUAAUUGAAAUGGUGACACGAGAAAGUGAUUUUAAUAUGAGUUUUUAUUAUGAAUUUGAUGUGUUCACGAAGUAGAAGAAGAGAAGAAAUGAUUAAAGUGCUGGAAACAAAGUGAAGGUGAUGACAAAAGUGAAGAAGGAAGAGAAUUAAAGCAAAAAUAGUAAGUACACCAAGAAAUUUACCUUACCAAAUUAGAAUUUAUGUAUGAAUUAUAUUUAAUGUUCUUCAGAUUUAAUCACACAUAUGCAUAGGAAAACGUUAAUAUAUAUUAUGAAAAUCUUGUGAUUAGUCAUUCCUCCCAACAAAUGACUCAUGAUCAUGUUCCAUUUUCACAAUGCAUACAAUGCUAAUUAGAGAAUUUUUUAUUUGAGUUAUAAUUUCACUAUUGUGAGUGAAACCAUGCCACUUAUAUGUCAUGUACCUCAACAUGCUUAAUGUCGAUCCACUACCAUCAUAGCACAUAAGUAUACGUGCAUAAUUAUUCACUUAUUAAUUUAAUUAAUUAAAAUAAAAUAAUCAUUUAAUACUAUCAUUUAAUUAUUUAAGUUUAAUAUAAAUUUUUAUUAUUUAUCUCUUAAUUAAUUUAAACUAUUUAAAGAAAAAUAAAUUUAGUGCAAUAUGCCAUGUUAUCAUUUUAACCCAAUAUUGACCCAUGAUAAAUUUGCUUAAUUUGGAAAUUUACUUCAUCUACACAUACAAGUAUUCAUUAAUGGUAAGAGAAUGUUUAUAAUUCAUUAUAACCUACACCCACACAUAUGUAUUUGAAUAAAUUAAUUAGUGACUUAAAUUUUCAAUAAUUAAUUGGGGACUCAUAUCGCAUAAAACAAGUUGUUCUUUUUAUUGAUUUAUUGUUACAGCUUAAGUACGCCUACCAUUCUCUGAUUUGAUUGUGGAUCUUAACUGCAUCUUCACAUUCUAGUAGAGUUUGAACUAUGGAAUCCAUUGUUGGUCUCUUACUUCUAUUUUCAUCCACACAAGAUAUUCCAAAUUCAACCAUUUUCUCCGCUUGAAUUCUGCUGAAAUGUCCAUUUAAUCUUUUGUCCACAAUAUCCUCAACCCAGGCCAUCUCCUCAACUUGCAUUUUUCUUUUCACUACCUUAAUGAAUCUUGUUAAUUCAGUUUCCUGCUCAUCGCCAUCCUCCACCACCCAGUGAGAGAGUCGAAUGCCCUUCACCAACUCCAAAAUCACGACCCCGUAGCUAUAGACAUCAACUUUUGCAGUGAUCGGAAGGUUUAAUGCCCAAUCAGGAGCCAUGUACCCUUUUGUUCCUCGGAUUCGAGACAUUUCCGAAUUAUUACGAUCCCUUUCAGACAGCUUUGCUAGUCCAAAAUCCGAAAUCUUGGGUUCAAAUUCACCAUCCAAGAGUAUGUUUUCAGGUUUCACGUCACAAUGAAUAACCCAUUCUAAGCACUCAUGGUGAAGGUAGGCCAAACCUUUUGCUGUCCCUAAGGCAACUUUAAACCUCUCAUUCCAUCCAAGAACGUUACCCGAAAAGAGAUGUUUGUCCAAAGACCGAUUUUCUACGUACUCAUAGACCAAAAGUCUAUGUUUGGGUUCUAA
rnacentral:lncRNA from 1 species